rnacentral:rRNA from 1 species
GUAGGUGGCAAGCGUUGUCCGGAAUUAUUGGGGCGUAAAGCGCGCGCAGGCGGUUCUUUAAGUCUGAUGUGAAAGCCCACGGGCUCAACCGUGGAGGGUCAUUGGAAACUGGAGAACUUGAGUACAGGAGAGGAAAGCGGAAUUCCACGUGUAGCGGUGAAAUGCGUAGAGAUGUGGAGGAACACCAGUGGCGAAGGCGGCUUUCUGGUCUGUAACUGACGCUGAGGCGCGAAAGCGUGGGGAGCAAACAGGAUUAGAUACCCUGGUAGUCCACGCCGUAAACGAUGAGUGCUAAGUGUUAGGGGGUUUCCGCCCCUUAGUGCUGCAGCUAACGCAUUAAGCACUCCGCCUGGGGAGUACGGCCGCAAAGGCUG